rnacentral:rRNA from 1 species
GGGUUGUGAGGUUAAGCGACUAAGCGUACACGGUGGAUGCCCUGGCAGUCAGAGGCGAUGAAGGACGUGCUAAUCUGCGAUAAGCGCCGGUAAGGUGAUAUGAACCGUUAUAACCGGCGAUUUCCGAAUGGGGAAACCCAGUGUGACUCGUCACACUAUCAUUAACUGAAUCCAUAGGUUAAUGAGGCGAACCGGGGGAACUGAAACAUCUAAGUACCCCGAGGAAAAGAAAUCAACCGAGAUUCCCCCAGUAGCGGCGAGCGAACGGGGAGGAGCCCAGAGCCUGAAUCAGCAUGUGUGUUAGUGGAAGCGUCUGGAAAGGCGCGCGAUACAGGGUGACAGCCCCGUACACAAAAGCGCAUGUGCUGUGAGCUCGAUGAGUAGGGCGGGACACGUGGUAUCCUGUCUGAAUAUGGGGGGACCAUCCUCCAAGGCUAAAUACUCCUGACUGACCGAUAGUGAACCAGUACCGUGAGGGAAAGGCGAAAAGAACCCCGGCGAGGGGAGUGAAAAAGAACCUGAAACCGUGUACGUACAAGCAGUGGGAGCACAGGUUUACCUGUGUGACUGCGUACCUUUUGUAUAAUGGGUCAGCGACUUAUAUUCUGUAGCAAGGUUAACCGUAUAGGGGAGCCGGAGGGAAACCGAGUCUUAAUUGGGCGUUAAGUUGCAGGGUAUAGACCCGAAACCCGGUGAUCUAGCCAUGGGCAGGUUGAAGGUUGGGUAACACUAACUGGAGGACCGAACCGACUAAUGUUGAAAAAUUAGCGGAUGACCUGUGGCU